rnacentral:tRNA from 1 species
ACUAACUUAGUAUAAGGAGUACAUCGGUUUGUAGGUCCGAGGGUGAUGAUUGUUCAGUUGGGG